rnacentral:rRNA from 1 species
AUGGGACUGCACCCGGCAACCGUGCUGCUUGCACUGCCCUACUUCCUCGCCCAGCCUGGCGCUCCUGCUCGUAGCAUCUCGACGAGGUCAACAAGAGGUUCAUGCUCGACCUCCGAGAGGUCUUGGUGGCAGUCGCAAACGAAGACUAGCCCUCCUCCCUGGAGAUGGCUUCUUCACGGUCGUGGUAGGCGCUCAACCAACGAUGUCGUCUCCCCGCGAGUGCGUUGCCCCAACUGCCGGAGGCUGGUCUGCGCCGACGCUCGCACUCCCGGGUCGCCUCUACGACAAGUCUCCUAUCUUCGCCCAACGACCGCAGGAAGACGGGAUGCACACCUGUGA